GAUGAACGCUGGCGGCGUGCCUAAUACAUGCAAGUCGAGCGAACAGACGAGGAGCUUGCUCCUCUGACGUUAGCGGCGGACGGGUGAGUAACACGUGGAUAACCUACCUAUAAGACUGGGAUAACUUCGGGAAACCGGAGCUAAUACCGGAUAAUAUAUUGAACCGCAUGGUUCAAUCGUUAAAGACGGUUUUGCUGUCACUUAUAGAUGGAUCCGCGCCGCAUUAGCUAGUUGGUAAGGUAACGGCUUACCAAGGCAACGAUGCGUAGCCGACCUGAGAGGGUGAUCGGCCACACUGGAACUGAGACACGGUCCAGACUCCUACGGGAGGCAGCAGUAGGGAAUCUUACGCAAUGGGCGAAAGCCUGACGGAGCAAAGCCGCGGGAGUGAUGAAGGUCUUCGGAUCGUAAAACUCUGUUAUUAGGGAAGAACAAAUGUGUAAGUAACUAUGCACGUCUUGACGGUACCUAAUCAGAAAGCCACGGCUAACUACGUG
rnacentral:rRNA from 1 species